GUGGAGACAUUGCACAGUUCCAGCAGUAUUACCAGGGCACCCUCCAUUGCGUCAAGAAUAAAGCUAUAGAGAUAGUAACUCAACUCAUCACAACAUGGGAAUGAUAUUCAAACUUUUUGUGGGAUUCUUUAUAUUUUUGCAACUACAAUUGGGCAGUACUUAUAUCAUUGUUUGUUAUUUCACAAACUGGGCACAACACAGAACUGGAAUUGGUCGGUUUGUGGCUAAGGAUAUUAAUCCUUUUUUGUGCACCCAUUUGAUUUAUGCUUUUGCUGAAAUAACUGAAGAUUAUAAAAUUUAUAUCCGAGAGCCAAAGGAAGAAAAUUCUUUAAAAGUA